rnacentral:rRNA from 1 species
UACGAAGGGUGCGAACGUUGCUCGGAAUUAUUGGGCGUAAAGCGCACGUAGGCGGCAUCGCCAGUCGGAUGUGAAAUCUUAUGGCUUAACCAUAAAAGUGCAUCCGAAACUGCAGUGCUUGAGUACUUAAGAGGAUCGCGGAAUUCCCGGUGUAGAGGUGAAAUUCGUAGAUAUCGGGAGGAACACCAGUGGCGAAGGCGGCGAUCUGGGAAGAUACUGACGCUGAGGUGCGAAAGCGUGGGGAGCAAACAGG